rnacentral:rRNA from 1 species
GAUGAACGCUAGCUACAGGCUUAACACAUGCAAGUCGAGGGGUAACGAGAGGAAAGCUUGCUUUCCUUGUCGACGACCGGCGCACGGGUGAGUAACGCGUAUCCAACCUGCCCCCAACUAAGGAAUAACCUUGCGAAAGUAAGACUAAUACCUUAUAAUUUCCUCAGAUGUCAUCUGACGAGGAAUAAAGAUUUAUCGGUUGUGGAUGGGGAUGCGUCUGAUUAGCUUGUUGGCGGGGUAACGGCCCACCAAGGCAACGAUCAGUAGGGGUUCUAGGAGGAAGUUCCCCCACAUUGGAACUGAGACACGGUCCAAACUCCUACGGGAGGCAGCAGUGAGGAAUAUUGGUCAAUGGGCGGAAGCCUGAACCAGCCAAGUAGCGUGCAGGAUGACGGCCCUAUGGGUUGUAAACUGCUUUUAUACAGGAAUAAAGUUAGCCACGUGUGGUUAUUUGUAGGUACUGUAUGAAUAAGGACCGGCUAAUUCCGUGCCAGCAGCCGCCGUAA